CAGUAGCCGCGGUAAUACGUAGGGUGCGAGCGUUAAUCGGAAUUACUGGGCGUAAAGCGUGCGCAGGCGGUUGUGUAAGACAGGUGUGAAAUCCCCGGGCUUAACCUGGGAACUGCGCUUGUGACUGCACAGCUAGAGUAUGGCAGAGGGGGGUGGAAUUCCACGUGUAGCAGUGAAAUGCGUAGAGAUGUGGAGGAACACCGAUGGCGUAGGCAGCCCCCUGGGCCAAUACUGACGCUCAUGCACGAAAGCGUGGGGAGCAAACAGGAUUAGAUACCCCUGUAGUCCCUGUCUCUUAUAC
rnacentral:rRNA from 1 species